rnacentral:tRNA from 1 species
GCUGGCGUAGCCCAAUCGGCAGAGGCAGCCGACUUAAAAUCGGCAAAGCGUAGGUUCGAGUCCUACCGCCAGCACCA